UACGGAAGGCAGCAGUGGGGAAUAUUGCACAAUGGGCGAAAGCCUGAUGCAGCUAUGCCGCGUGUAUGAAGAAGGCCUUAGGGUUGUAAAGUACUUUCAUCGGGGAGGAAAAACAAAACUAAUAAUUUUAUUUCUUGACGUUACCCGAAAAAGAAGCACCGGCUAACUCCGUGCCAGCAGCCGCGGUAAUACGGAGGGUGCUAGCGUUAAUCAGAAUUACUGGGCGUAAAGAGCACGUAGGUGGUUUUUUUAAGUCAGAUGUGAAAUCCCUGGGCUUAACCUAGGAACUGCACUUUGAAACUGAAAUACUAGAGUAUCGUAGAGGGAGGUAGAAUUCUAGGUGUAGCGGUGAAAUGCGUAGAUAUCUGGAGGAAUACCUGUGGCGAAAGCGGCCUCCUAAACGAAUACUGACACUGAGGUGCGAAAGCGUGGGGAGCAAACAGGGAUUAGAUACC
rnacentral:rRNA from 1 species